rnacentral:misc_RNA from 1 species
GAUGAAGAACGCAGCGAAAUGCGAUAAGUAAUGUGAAUUGCAGAAUUCAGUGACUCAUCGAAUCUUUGAACGCACAUUGCGCCCGCUAGUAUUCUGGCGGGCAUGCCUGUCCGAGCGUCAUUUCAACCCUCAAGCCCCCGGGCUUGGUGUUGGGGAUCGGCGAGCCUCCGCGCCCGCCGUCCCCUAAAUCUAGUGGCGGUCUCGCUGUAGCUUCCUCUGCGUAGUAGCACACCUCGCACUGGGAAACAGCGCGGCCACGCCGUUAAACCCCCAACUUCUGAACGUUUGACCUCGAAUCAGGUAGGAAUACCCGCUGAACUUAAGCAUAUCAAUAAGCGGAGGA